GUGCUUGCUUUGGCAGCACAUACACUGAAACUGGAACAAUAUAGAGAACACCCUGUACAAGAAUGACAUGCAAAUUCAUGAAAUAGUUCAUAUUUUU
rnacentral:snRNA from 1 species